CCCUAUUAUUUUAGAGUGUUAAUUGUUUAUGUGCCUGAGUAGUAUUAGUUAUGUUCUUGAAACUUAAAGAAUUUGGCGGUAUCUCAUUCCGUCCAGAGGAAUCUGUCUCGUUAUCGAUAGUCCACGUUGGACCUUACUUGGAUUGCUUAUGGGUUUGUAUACCGCCGUUUAUUGAUUAUCUUUUUAGGGUUUUCUUAAUUUUCUGGUUUCUUUAUUUUGAUUUAUUUCAGGUCAAGGUGCAGCUUAUUUCUAAGUGAAUGAUGGAUUACAUUGUUAUUUGUUUUGUGGAUUAUUAAUUUUAAUAUUGGUAUGAAAUUGGAUUUGGUUGUAAUAAUUUGUAGAUUGUUAUUGUGAUAAAUGGUUCUGGGAUAUGCACACAUCGCCCGUCGCUCUCGUUUUGUUGUUAAUGAGAUAAGUC
rnacentral:rRNA from 1 species